AACGAACGCUGGCGGCAGGCCUAACACAUGCAAGUCGAGCGAGGUAGCAAUACCUAGCGGCGGACGGGUUAGUAACGCGUGGGAACGUGCCCAAAGGUACGGAAUAGCCUCGGGAAACUGAGAGUAAUACCGUAUGUGCCCUUCGGGGAAAGAUUUAUCGCCUUUGGAUCGGCCCGCGUUGGAUUAGGUAGUUGGUGGGGUAAUGGCCUACCAAGCCGACGAUCCAUAGCUGGUUUGAGAGGAUGAUCAGCAACACUGGGACUGAGACACGGCCCAGACUCCUACGGGAGGCAGCAGUGGGGAAUCUUAGACAAUGGGGGAAACCCUGAUCUAGCCAUGCCGCGUGAGCGAUGAAGGCCUUAGGGUUGUAAAGCUCUUUCAGCUGGGAAGAUAAUGACGGUACCAGCAGAAGAAGCCCCGGCUAACUCCGUG
rnacentral:rRNA from 1 species